rnacentral:rRNA from 1 species
GACGAACGCGGCGGCGUGCCUAAUACAUGCAAGUAGAACGCUGAAGGAGGAGCUUGCUUCUCUGGAUGAGUUGCGAACGGGUGAGUAACGCGUAGGUAACCUGCCUGGUAGCGGGGGAUAACUAUUGGAAACGAUAGCUAAUACCGCAUAAGAGUAGAUGUUACAUGACAUUUGCUUAAAAGGUGCAAUUGCAUCACUACCAGAUGGACCUGCGUUGUAUUAGCUAGUUGGUGAGGUAACGGCUCACCAAGGCGACGAUACAUAGCCGACCUGAGAGGGUGAUCGGCCACACUGGGACUGAGACACGGCCCAGACUCCUACGGGAGGCAGCAGUAGGGAAUCUUCGGCAAUGGACGGAAGUCUGACCGAGCAACGCCGCGUGAGUGAAGAAGGUUUUCGGAUCGUAAAGCUCUGUUGUAAGAGAAGAUCGAGUGUGAGAAGUGGAAAAGUUUCAACAACUGGG